CCACUCCCUGUGCGCAGAUUCCGGAAUAUCCAGAUCGUAUAACGCAUUGCCCCUUCCCUGAAGAUGAUCUACCUGUGAAUGGUGUUGGGCUAGAGGAGUGUGCUUAUCAAUGAGCCAAACCAUGAGUUGAGAUGCUUUCUACAACUCAUGGUUUAAUGGCAUAACCUAUGAUGUCCUGAAGCUUGGCAGAUUAAAAUGUUUGCCUUGAACAAAGGCAGAUGUAAUUGAUCAUAUAUCAUACUUGGGAGGAACAAAGGCAGAUGAAAUAUCCAAUAAUAUUUCAUUGCUAUAAAUAUGGAUUAUUGAAAAAAUAAGACAUGUUAUUUAUUUGAAUACUUUUCUU
rnacentral:lncRNA from 1 species